UCUAUUAUAAGUUUUGGUGCACCUGUUAGCGCAGGAAAAUUUACACCUCUAUUAUUGUCAUUGGUAUUUGGAGUUUGGUCACAUACCAUCAGAGCUCUUUCCACCUUCAACCUGAACAGACGUCUAAUCAGAGUAACUGAAAACACCUGUGUGAAUGUGAAGGCUCUUAAUUCCAUGACUAAUGGGGACAACAACUUCGAGAAAUUGGUCCAGUAUGAGUGAGAGCGCUGAAGCCAGCAGAAGUGAAACCGGACUGCAACGUAAUCUGGGGUCACCGCCAGGCUCAGAUUGCUAUUAUCUGACUACAUUGUGGAAACGAUCCCUACAGAGAUAGACCUUUUUUUAAAGAGUAUGAUCCUUUUUGUUUAACCAGACCAUCAGAAAAUUCUUUAAUUAGCACCUGUAGCUAACAUACCUGUAGCCAUACCAGCUAAACUAAUAAAUAACAACCCCAUUAGUCCGUA